rnacentral:lncRNA from 1 species
CUCAGGAGAUAGAUUCUUGUCUUAUUUCCUGAGUCAAAUUAACAUCUCUGCUACCAGCCUGGUAUCUUGGUCCGUUUAGAGUCAGGGACCUGUGCUAGUCUGGCCCUCGGCAUGCCAGAGAUUCACGCAGUGCUCCUUCCCCACAGCCUGGCUGCUGAGCCCUGUCUCCCAAGUGGUUCUUUUCUCUACGCAUCUCUGAAUGUGACUGCUUUAGGGUGAAUCUCCUCCUUCUUGUUCCACCCACCUGCCAAUUUGUGUUAUGCUCCUGAUGUUGACAGCUUGCCUGGACCACUUCCUUUCUCUAUAGCCUUGAACCCUGUAGACACUGGAUUCUGCCUCUUGGGCUGAACUUAUUCUUGAGGCCUCUCCAUUGGGUGGCUCUGUCUUUCCUAGGCUUCCUCAUCUUGAUGCAAGGAAGAAGGUACACACUUGGCCAUGCAUGGUCUGAGAUGUAACAAUUAGUUUUAGGAAGUGCCUACUUCUGUGAGCAAAUAAUCAAUUACCUGUCAUAGCAGCCACUCUUUCCUGAAACUGCCUUCCUACCAGGUGUGCAGUUUCUGAAAUUCUACCAAUGGCUUUACUUCCUCCAGGUGUCUUCUGGAGGAGUAAGGAACAGUGACCAGACAGACACAAAUACAUAUGGCCAUUAGUAAUAUCAUUACCAAGCUAACUACAGGAAUCCAGGGCAGUAUGCAGGCAUAAGAGGUCCAGGAAGAGCAGAACAGAAGACAGUUGUGUGGAGAGCAAGUGAAGAGAGGCACUGAAGACAAACUCUCCCAUCCUUCUGACUUUACCUGGUCCCAGUCCUGGGUGGAAAUGAUGGGAUUAAUAAGAAACCAGGCAUGAGAAGCC